rnacentral:tRNA from 1 species
GGAGAGAUGUCCGAGCGGACGAAGGAGCACGCCUGGAGAGCGUGUGCCGGCGAAAGUCGGCCGUGGGUUCGAAUCCCACUCUCUCCGCCA